GCUUUCCUGUGGCUCAGUCCGUAGAGCAUUGCUGCAGCAGUGCCAUGGUUGUGGGUUCAAACCCCAGGCAAAGCA